rnacentral:rRNA from 1 species
AGAGUUUGAUCAUGGCUCAGAACGAACGCUGGCGGCGCGCCUAACACAUGCAAGUCGAACGGGGUACUUAGCGUGGAUCACUUCGGUGUGAAGCACUUUGUUACCUAGUGGCGGACGGGUGAGUAACACAUAGGUAACCUGCCCUUAGGAUUGGGAUACUCCCGGGAAACCGGGCACAAUACCGAAUAUCAUUGCAAGAUUAUGUUUUGUAAUGAAAGCUGCGAGCAAUCGUGGCGCCUAAGGAUGGGCCUGUGGCCUAUCAGCUUGUUGGUGAGGUAAUGGCUCACCAAGGCUAAGACGGGUAGCCGGACUGAAAGGUCGAUCGGCCACACUGGAACUGAGACACGGUCCAGACUCCUACGGGAGGCAGCAGUGGGGAAUUUUGCGCAAUGGGCGAAAGCCUGACGCAGCGACGCCGCGUGGGGGAAGAAGGCCUUCGGGUUGUAAACUCCUUUAGUACGGGAAGAAGCCUUCGGGUGACGGUACCGUAAGAAUAAGCCACGGCUAACUCUGUGCCAGCAGCCGCGGUAAUACAGAGGUGGCAAGCGUUGUUCGGGUUUACUGGGCUUAAAGGGCGUGUAGGCGUCCCAACAAGUCAGAUGUGGAAGCCCUGGGCUUAACCCAGGAAGUGCAUUUGAAACUGUCGGGAUUGAGUCGUGCAAGGGAGGGCGGAAUUCCUGGUGUAGCGGUGAAAUGCGUAGAUAUCAGGAGGAAGGCCGGUGGUGAAGACGGCCCUCUAGGCAAUGACUGACGCUGAGGCGCGAAAGCGUGGGUAGCAAACAGGAUUAGAUACCCUGGUAGUCCACGCCCUAAACGGUGCGUACUAGGUGUGGGUGGCGAUAGUCAUCCGUGCCGAAGGGAAACCAUUAAGUACGCCGCCUGGGGAGUACGGCCGCAAGGUUGAAACUCAAAUGAAUUGACGGGGGCCCGCACAAGCGGUGGAGCACGUGGUUUAAUUCGACGCUACGCGCAGAACCUUACCUAGGCUUGACAUGUUAGUGGUAGGAACCCGAAAGGGUGACGACCUAUUCUUCGGAAUAGGAGCUUUCACAGGUGCUGCAUGGCUGUCGUCAGCUCGUGCCGUGAGGUGUUGGGUUAAGUCCCGCAACGAGCGCAACCCUCAUCAUCUGUUGCCCUUAACGGGGCUCUCUGAUGAAACUGCCGGCGAAGAGCCGGAGGAAGGUGGGGAUGACGUCAAGUCCGCAUGGCCCUUAUGCCUAGGGCUACACACGUGCUACAAUGGCAGAUACAAAGGGUGGCCAAGCCGCGAGGUGGAGCCAAUCUCAUAAAGUCUGUCCAAGUUGGGAUCGGAGUCUGCAAUUCGACUCCGUGAACCUGGAAUCGCUAGUAAUCGUGGAUCAGCACGCCACGGUGAAUACGUUCCCGGGCCUUGUACACACCGCCCGUCACACCACGAAAGUCUGCUGUACCCGAAGUAGGUGAGCCAACCAGCAAUGGAGGCAGCUUCCUAAGGUAUGGCCGGUAAUUGGGGUGAAGUCGUAACAAGGUA